GGGCCCGUAGUCUAGUGGUUAUGAUGCUUCCUUGACAUGGAAGAGGUCGCAAGUUCAAAUCUUGCCGGGCCCA
rnacentral:tRNA from 1 species